UACGGGGGGGGCAAGCGUUGUUCGGAAUUACUGGGCGUAAAGGGCCAGUAGGCGGCCAACUAAGUCCGACGUGAAAUCCCAAGGCUUAACCUUGGAACUGCGUCGGAUACUGGAUGGCUUGAAUUCGGGAGAGGGAUGCAGAAUUCCAGGUGUAGCGGUGAAAUGCGUAGAUAUCUGGAGGAAUACCGGUGGCGAAGGCGGCAUCCUGGACCAACACUGACACUGAGGAGCGAAAGCCAGGGGAGCAAACGGG
rnacentral:rRNA from 1 species